rnacentral:rRNA from 1 species
GACGAACGCUGGCGGCGUGCUUAACACAUGCAAGUCGAACGGAAAGGCCCUGCUUUUGUGGGGUGCUCGAGUGGCGAACGGGUGAGUAACACGUGAGUAACCUGCCCUUGACUUUGGGAUAACUUCAGGAAACUGGGGCUAAUACCGGAUAGGAGCUCCUGCUGCAUGGUGGGGGUUGGAAAGUUUCGGCGGUUGGGGAUGGACUCGCGGCUUAUCAGCUUGUUGGUGGGGUAGUGGCUUACCAAGGCUUUGACGGGUAGCCGGCCUGAGAGGGUGACCGGCCACAUGGGGACUGAGAUACGGCCCAGACUCCUACGGGAGGCAGCAGUGGGGAGUAUUGCACAAUGGGCGGAAGCCUGAGGCAGCAACGCCGCGGGCGGGAUGACGGCCUUCGGGUUGUAAACCGCUUUCGCCUGUGACGAAGCGUGAGUGACGGUAAUGGGUAAAGAAGCACCGGCUAACUACGUG